AGAGUUUGAUCCUGGCUCAGGAUGAACGCUAGCGGGAGGCCUAACACAUGCAAGCCGAGCGGUAUUGUUUCUUCGGAAAUGAGAGAGCGGCGUACGGGUGCGGAACACGUGUGCAACCUGCCUUUAUCUGGGGGAUAGCCUUUCGAAAGGAAGAUUAAUACUCCAUAAUAUAUUGAACGGCAUCGUUUAAUAUUGAAAGCUCCGGCGGAUAGAGAUGGGCACGCGCAAGAUUAGCUAGUUGGUGAGGUAACGGCUCACCAAGGCGAUGAUCUUUAGGGGGCCUGAGAGGGUGAUCCCCCACACUGGUACUGAGACACGGACCAGACUCCUACGGGAGGCAGCAGUGAGGAAUAUUGGUCAAUGGGUGCAAGCCUGAACCAGCCAUCCCGCGUGAAGGACGACUGCCCUAUGGGUUGUAAACUUCUUUUGUAUAGGGAUAAACCUACCCUCGUGAGGGUAGCUGAAGGUACUAUACGAAUAAGCACCGGCUAACUCCGUG
rnacentral:rRNA from 1 species